GCGCAGCGGCGUAUACAAUCUUUGGUCAGCAGCGCGGAUAUACGCAGUUCACUUUGCUGCAUACCACCAAAUCUCCAGUGACUGUAACGUCAUAAUACAGGCAAACAGGGCCGGCCUAGGCUAGCUACGUCGACGUAACGACUGAAUAAGGCUGUGCAAACAUCACAGAUCAUCAUGGAGUUUCCAAAUCUUGGAGAAAAUUGCUUUGUUAAAACCUGUAAGCAACUAGCAUGGUAGGCAUCUUGCAACAAUGAGGUCAGGUUAGAGGAGCAAUCUCUACCGGGGAUGAAACCAUGCAGCUGCUCAGCGACGGCAGGCUAGACAAUUGAUCAAAAGUAUCGUCAUGUGGCCAACUGUCGGGUGAUGUGAUGGUGUUGGGGUUAUAUUGGACGUCACAAUAGAGUCCCGCUCCCAUCAUGUGUCAUCGAAAAGGUCAGGCUAACGUACUCAAAUGCUGAAGGCCAGUACAAGGGUCACCGGUACCCACCUCUUGAUUGCAACACAUGAAUGCUUGAACUGUUCCUCCUUUCUCGGGAUAAAUAAUGUUAUUUUUCGGGAUAAAUGAUAAAGUUAAUGCCUAAAUAUUUGUGAUCUUCAAACUUCACUUAAGACAUGUUUUCUCAAACCUUGUCAGUUUUAUGCGAAUGAACAAUCCUUGUACGUGUAUUCAACAAGGGUCUUUCAUUAUUCAACUUGGAUUUGUUGGCCUAUUGCCAUCAACAGAAUUGUUAAAAGUACCUGUAUUUUCAUUAAACUGCAUUUAGCAUUCCAAAAUUUUCACAAUGGAUUGUUACUGCACCUGUCUUGAAAUUGUCUGGUUACACCCAGGACUGGAGCGCAAGUUUUGUUUUUGAACUGCUUAUCAUAACCUGGAUGUGACUGAAAUGGAUUUUGCUUUCACAGGAAAUUCUUUUAUUUCCCACAUUAGAGAUUAAAAGCACAUGUGGAAAGAGGAAAACCCUGAUUUAUUCAUUAUUUGGUUACUACUUGCACAAGUAUUAAAUGAUUGAAUUACUGUAGGUAGACUCUGUUUCUUUUCAAAUUUCCCAUUAAUUUUGCACAAGUUGUGAUGGAGUGCUCUCCCUGCCACCCCCCCAAAAACAAGAUUGGGAAGAAUUCCAUUUCAAAGUUCACCAAUUAUUCUCCUUGUUGA
rnacentral:lncRNA from 1 species